rnacentral:rRNA from 1 species
UACGUAGGGUGCGAGCGUUGUUCGGAGUUACUGGGCGUAAAGGGUGCGUAGGCGGCCCUGUAAGUAUGGUGUGAAAUCUCCCGGCUUAACUGGGAGGGUGCGCUAUAGACUGCGGGGCUCGAGUGUGGGAGAGGAAAGUGGAAUUCCUGGUGUAGCGGUGAAAUGCGUAGAUAUCAGGAGGAACACCGGUGGUGUAAACGGCUUUCUGGACCAUAACUGACGCUGAGGCACGAAAGCGUGGGUAGCAAACAGG